rnacentral:tRNA from 1 species
UCCCUGGUGGUCCAGGGUUAAGAAUCUGCCUUGCAAAUGCAGGUGACCUGGGUUCCAUUCCUGGUCAGGGAA